AUUGAACGCUGGCGGCAGGCCUAACACAUGCAAGACGAGCGGAGCGGCGGACGGGUGAGUAAUGCCUAGGAAUCUGCCUGGUAGUGGGGGAUCACGUCCGGAAACGGGCGCUAAUACCGCAUCCUAUCAGAUGAGCCUACGUCGGAUUAGCUAGUUGGUGGGGUAAAGGCCUAAAAAGGAGAAGAUCCGUAACUGGUCUGAGAGGAUGAGCAGUCACACUGGAACUGAGACACGGGCCAGACUCCGACGGGAGGCAGCAGUGGGGAAUAUUGGACAAGGGGCGAAAGCCUGAUCCAGCCAUGCCGAGUGUGUGAAGAAGGUCUUCGGGUUGUAAAGCACUUGAAGUUGGGAGGCGUUACGAACAGAAUAAGCACAGGCUAAAUUCGUGCCAGUGGCCGCGGUAAUUC
rnacentral:rRNA from 1 species